GAUUAUGGCUCAGGACGAACGCUGGCGGCGUAGCCUAACACAUGCAAGUCGAGCGAGGAGAUCCUCAGGAUGAUCCUAGCGGCGACGGGUGAGUAACACGUGGGCAACCUGCCUCAUAGAGAGGAAUAGCCUUCCGAAAGGGAGAUUAAUACCUCAUAACAUUGCAGUUUCGCAUGGAACAGCAAUUAAAGGAGUAAUCCGCUAUGAGAUGGGGCCCGCGGCGCAUUAGGCUAGUUGGUGAGGUAACGGCUCACCAAGGCGACGAUGCGUAGCCGACCUGAGAGGGUGAUCGGCCACAUUGGGACUGAGACACGGCCCAGACUCCUACGGGAGGCAGCAGUGGGGAAUAUUGCACAAUGGGGGAAACCCUGAUGCCAGCAACGCCGCGUGAGUGAUGACGGCCUUCGGGUUGUAAAGCUCUGUCUUCAGGGACGAUAAUGACGGUACCUGAGGAGGAAGCCACGGCUAACUACGUGCCAGCCGCCGC
rnacentral:rRNA from 1 species